CUCAUUUGUCUUUGUCGGCAUAAUAUUCUCCAAAAUAUCAUCAUUCUGUUUGAGUAAAGCAAGAUCAUGGAUAUUCCCUUUCUCAUUUUUCUAUCUUUCUUUCUUCUUUUAUUCUACUCUUAAUAAUGAGAAAGAAAGCAAUUCAAUUUCCCUAGUCUUAACUUACUCUGCAAUAAAUAGAAGCUGUGAGUCAGUCUUCUUCUUGUACUCCCUGAUGGGGAUGUUCAGGCUCUGAAAAUUUUUCUACUACUCAUCUCAUCAUUUUGUGAUUUUGUUUUCAUUGCUUGCCUUUGUGUCUUUUAAAAAUCACUUUUUGUGCUUCCCUAAAUUUCAUUAUCAUUACAGUUUUCCUCAGUUUUAUAUAUUAUAAACUGGGUAUGCUCUUUCUGCAUGAUUGAUUACAUUCUGCACUUCUCUUUCUUUUAUAGUGGCCUUUAAAAUCUACCACUAUGUACCCUCGAAUGUAAUUAUUUAUGGAUGGCACGCAUAGCCUACUUCUGUGACUGGCUUUGCUGACAAUCAUACAGCUCAGUUUUCUAUCCCUUAAUCAAAACUCAGCAGACACAGUGGCUCACGCCUGUAAUCUCAGCACUUCGGGAGGCCAAGGCAGGUGGAUCACCUGUCAGGAAUUCAACACCAGCCUGUCCAACAUUGUGAAACCCCAUCUCUACUAAAAAUAAAACAAUUAGCUGGGUUUAUGGUGCGUGCCUGUAGUCCCAGCUAGUAAGGAGGCUGAGGCCCGAGAAUCAUUUGAACUCAGGAGGCAGUGUUUGCAGUGAGUUGAAAUUGCAACACUGCAUUCCAGCCUAGGCAACAAUGAGGCUCCAUCCAAAAAAAAAAAAAAAUAGCUUUUCUUCUCAAAUCUACUGCAGACUCCUAGAAGGCAAGGGCUGUAGCUUACCAAAAUUAAAAUGAAAUUGUCCAAGCUCCUGAAAUGUUUUAUUAUUAUGGCUUUUUUAUUACAAUAAAAUAUACAUAACAUUUACCAUAUCAACCAUUUUGAAGUGUUCAUUUAAAGCAGCAUUAAGAAUAUUUAUGUUUCUGGGCACAGUGGCUCAUGCCUGAAGUCGCAGCACUUUGGGAGGCCAACCUGGGUGUACCAUUUGAGGUCAAGAGUUUGAGAUCAGCCUGACCAACAUGGUGAACG
rnacentral:lncRNA from 10 species